CAAUAGCGUAUAUUAACGUUGUUGCAGUUAAAAAGCUCGUAGUUGGAUUUCUGACCUCGAGUGCGUGCUCACGUCGACUGAAAUUGGUCGGCGGUGGAGUUUUACGCACCGGUCACCUUGUAAGCGCGUGGCGCUGCACUUAAUUGUGUCGGUGUCAAUGCUCUUACUCGUUUACUUUGAACAAAUUAGAGUGUUUAAAGCAGGCUGUUUAAUGCCGUGAAUAGACUAGCAUGGAAUAAUAAGAUAGGGCUUCGGUUCUAUUUUGUUGGUUUUAAGAACUGAAGUAAUGAUUGAUAGGGAUAGUUGGGGGUGCUCGUAUUCAGCGGCCAGAGGUGAAAUUCGUAGAUUCGCUGAAGACGAACUUAUGCGAAAGCAUUCACCAAGGAUAUUUUCUUUAAC
rnacentral:rRNA from 1 species